rnacentral:rRNA from 1 species
UACGUAGGGUGCAAGCGUUGUCCGGAAUUAUUGGGCGUAAAGAGCUCGUAGGCGGUUUGUCGCGUCGAAUGUGAAAACCCGGGGCUCAACCCCGGGCCUGCAUUCGAUACGGGCAGACUAGAGUUCGGUAGGGGAGUCUGGAAUUCCUGGUGUAGCGGUGAAAUGCGCAGAUAUCAGGAGGAACACCGGUGGCGAAGGCGGGUCUCUGGGCAGUUACUGACGCUGAGGAGCGAAAGCGUGGGGAGCGAACAGG